AUUUAGCACCUUUUGCGUGAGGGAUAGCAGUGGAAAUCCUUUUAUGAAGCGCAGCGUAAUAAAAGAUUACUUCACAAUGUUUUUAAUUUUUAGCGGAGUUCAGUGAACUUCGUUUAUAACGGAUAGCUCGACCUUGU
rnacentral:sRNA from 1 species